UGGGGAAUUUUGGACAAUGGGCGAAAGCCUGAUCCAGCAAUGCCGCGUGUGUGAAGAAGGCCUUCGGGUUGUAAAGCACUUUUGUCCGGAAAGAAAUCCUUGGCUCUAAUACAGUCGGGGGAUGACGGUACCGGAAGAAUAAGCACCGACUAACUACGUGCCAGCAGCCGCGGUAAUACGUAGGGUGCAAGCGUUAAUCGGAAUUACUGGGCGUAAAGCGUGCGCAGGCGGUUUGCUAAGACCGAUGUGAAAUCCCCGGGCUCAACCUGGGAACUGCAUUGGUGACUGGCAGGCUAGAGUAUGGCAGAGGGGGGUAGAAUUCCACGUGUAGCAGUGAAAUGCGUAGAGAUGUGGAGGAAUACCGAUGGCGAAGGCAGCCCCCUGGGCCAAAUACUGACGCUCAUGCACGAAAGCGUGGGGAGCAAACAGGAUUAGAUACCCUGGUAGUCCACGCCCUAAACGAUGUCAACUAGUUGUUGGGGAUUCAUUUCCUUAGUAACGUAGCUAACGCGUGAAGUUGACCGCCUGGGGAGUACGGUCGCAAGAUUAAAACUCAAAUGAAUUGACGGGGUCAUAGCUGUUUCC
rnacentral:rRNA from 1 species